rnacentral:misc_RNA from 1 species
UCUCUGUGUACAUCCCAGCAUCUGCACAUUCAGCAAUUCUAGAGAUUGAUCAACAGCGUUCACCAAAUAAUUGGAAUUAGAAACAGAGUUAACAAAAACGUUCACGAAAUAAUUUGAUCAAUGUCAAGGGCCCGAUUUCGGGUUUGUGGGGUUUGAUCAGCAUCUUCGUCACCAUUCUUGGCUAAAUCUUCUUCUUCAGUUGCUGCUGUUCAUUCCUUUUUGGGAUGUAUUCAUCCACAACAAAUUCUAGGCCAUCCUUGUUUGGCUCAUCUGGCGCUUCAACUGCCACCACUACAUCUUACUUUGUUGUUUCACUACACCAGCUUCAACAAAUACAUUCUCGUCUAAUUUUUUUCUAUUUCAACUUCCUCUUCAAAUUCAGGUUCCGCUUUUCCUUUCUUCACCGCUUCAUCAGGAUUUUCCUUCCCAAAAAGCACUCAAAGUUUAACACCAAUCUCUUCAACCAUCUCCUGCCACCUAAUCGCCUUUCUAAUCACCGCCGUCCUGCAAUCUCUAACUCCAGAAUCCAUGCCCGGCACAGAAUCCAACCUAUACAGCAAAUUCAUAAGCACUGCAAGGAAAGGGAUCGCAAGAGCAGAAACGGGGGUGUGAGGAGUUGCUACUAGGUUCUCAAUCAGAGGGGGAGUUUCUGGAUUCGACGUUACAGAGUAGGGGAGGGGCAAGUGCUGGAUUCUCGAUCAGGAAGGGGUAACGGGUUGCAAGGGCAUAAACGUGAAGAAGGAGGAGGGGCUGUUGUUUGGCUGGGUUCACGGUCAUGAGAGAGUGGAGAUGGGGUUUGUGUUAAGGGAGGGAAGACGUG